rnacentral:lncRNA from 1 species
CCAUUAACUCUACACAGAAAUAUAAACCCAAAUCCAAUAGUCAACCCUAAUUUACCAUAUAAUAAACCCAAAUUUCGAAAUGCCACUAAAAUGCAUUACCAUUCUACAUGAGGCAUAUAGAAUACAAAAUAUGAAAAUGUAGUUGCAAUCUGAAGAUCAUCUUAACAUAUUUUUCAAAUGUUGAAAUGGCUAUGCCUUCAUGGAAAGUGGUAAUGUUUGCCCCAACGUCAACCCCAAUAGUACAUAAACUAAACCCUAUCAACUAUUCACUAAACCCUACACAGAAAUAUAAACCCUAAUCCAAUGUCAACCCCAUUCUUCCAUAAACUAAAUCCUAACCACUAAUUACUAAACCUUACAUGGAAAUAUAAAUCCUAAUCUAAUGUCAACCCCAAUAUUUCAUAAA